CAGCCGCGGUAAUACGUGGGGUGCAAGCGUUAAUCUGAAUUACUGGGCGUAAAGUGUCUGUAGGUGGUUUGUUAAGUCAGAUGUGAAAGCCCAGGGCUCAACCUUUGAACUGCAUUUGAUACUGGCAAACUAGAGUACGGUAGAGGAAUGGGGAAUUUCUGGUGUAGCGGUGAAAUGCUUAGAGAUCAGAAGGAACACCAAUGGCGAAGGCAACAUUCUGGACAGAUACUGACACAGAGGGACGAA
rnacentral:rRNA from 1 species